UGGUUUCUCUUCAGAUCGUAUAAAUCUUUCGCCUUUUACUAAAGAUUUCCGUGGAGAGGAACAAGUCCUGGUUCGUUAUUGACCUCCCUCCAUGAGGAAAGCGUUUACCUGGUGCGACGAGACUGCCGAAGGCCCAUCCUGACACCUGACACACAAAAAUGGAUCCAGUCCAGACUGAAUAACUGGCCACCCCUCCAGUCAGCAUCCCCAGAGACAUGGCAAGGAUGCAGUCCACAGAAGGAACUGACAAAUAUUUUCUGGCUUGCACAGAAGUGCUGGGAUCUACGACCAUCUCAUCUUCCUGGAUGCACUGAGACUCUGUGAUAGCAGACAUCCUGGAACGGCCACGCACAGCUUUGGAAACAGGAAUCCAGGGACACUCAGACACUUGCAACUGAUGGAGUGCUCACAAAGUGCAGAACAGUGAGGAAUAAGGUGUGGUUAAAAGGACCUUUUCCAAUAACAAAGUGCUGGACAAAACAGUGCAGGUGGGUGAAAAGUGAUCAUUAAAUACACCACUACAGAAAAGCAAACAGUUCAUUCCAGGUUUGCAAUUCCAAUGAAUUUCUCUCAGAUACCACUAGGGAUUUACAUAAGGUUAUGGCAGUUGCAGCAUCUUGAUACUUAGGAAGGAGGAAGUUACAAGUCAGAACUGGGAAAGCCUCUGAAGCUUCACACUUGCAGGGCACUUCACACUUGUGAAUUAACUCUGUGAUGGUGACAGGGCACUGGGGUGGGCAGCGUGGUGCCCACCCACCCUCAGGGCACCCACACACAGACUGCGUGUGGUGCACAGUGAACUGGGAGCCCCAUAACAUUGAAUUCAGCUGAAAGACUCUGUAUAAUCACAACAUAAAACCUUUGAAAAAGGUCCUUUUGUAGGCAACUCUCCAUUGUCACACACCAAGGUAUUUCUUUCAUUGAGAUCAAGUCCAUUGGAAAGCUUUCUAGGGGAAGGAUUGGAACAUUCCCCUCAAAAAAUAUGUAAGAAACCAAAAAGCAAAUCUUAUAUGAAAAAAGAAAUCAUGAUGUGCAAGAUGGAACUCCCUUCACCUGUCAUGACUAGCAAUUACCAGAAUUAAUCACCAUGAUUUCAAAGGACACCAGAUCUGUUUGAAACCAAGUGUUCAUUUAAAUUUUGAAUCAAAUUCCUUAGAACCAUACCCACAAAAUUCAGUGCUUCUGUCUGUUAACUCUUUACCUGGAAUCUUCUGCUCAUCUGCAGAAACAUUAGAUGUGACUGCUACAAUUUUAGAAACAAAAAGCAUCAGUUUCAUUAUACUCAAGAAUGGCAUUUUUAUUCCAUUUGCUGUUGUCACACAUGCCCAGACCUGUUCUCAUCACACACACAGCAGCACUGUUUCUGUAAAUGCUGGUGCUCCUGGACAGGCAGAUUAACUGGAGGAUUUGCUGCACCUAAAUGGGUCUGAUUUGAGUGAUUCUGCUAUGUGUGGAUAUUCAGCAUCCUCCAAAAUUCCUACUGAUUUGUAGGACUGAGGCAAUAUCUAUUUCUUAAUGAAUUCUGAAAGCAGUGCUUCUACUUCUCUCAUUUCCUGGGUCAGAUGGAGGCAGACACCUCCUGAUCUUCUUUAAUUUGUUUAGUCUAAGAGCAAGUGUGAAGCCAGUGUUAGCUUUCUAAUUAGUGCAGUGCAAGGUUUGCGACAGGACAGAUACUCUGACGCUGGUGGGCAUUAGCUAGUUAUAACAACAAAAAUUAUUUCAGGAAUACUGAAAACACUGCUUCUCUCCUGUGCUCUGAGCAGGUCUUCAGGGACCUCCAGUAGGACAGGCAACAGGUAUUUCAGAUUUGCAAUUAGAUUCUAUACUUCAGGAGAGCUGUGACCUUUGCAAGGACAUCUUUCCAUCAGUGACUGGAUUAACACACCUUUGUUUUUCCAGCUGGCUAUCCAGCUCCAUUAACUGACCUGACCAUAGACAGUCAU